UCCGGUUUGUCACCGGCAGUCUCGCAUGAGUCCCCAACUGAAUGCUGGCAACAUGCGACAGGGGUUGCGUUCGUUGCGGGACUUAACCCAACAUCUCACGACACGAACUGACGACAGCCAUGCAGCACCUCACUACCGACCCGAAGGAAACCCCCUUUCAGGGGCUGUCCGGUAGCGUUCGAGCCUAGGUAAGGUUCUUCGCGUUGCAUCGAAUUAAGCCACAUACUCCACCGCUUGUGCAGGCCCCCGUCAAUUCCUUCGAGUUUCACUCUUGCGAGCGUACUCCCCAGGUGGGAUGCUUAACGCGUUAGCUUAGGCACUGCCCCAAAGAGCGGGGCAACACCGAGCAUCCAUCGUUUACGGCGUGGACUAC
rnacentral:misc_RNA from 1 species